UCCAGACUCCUACGGGAGGCAGCAGUGAGGAAUAUUGGUCAAUGGGCUUACGCCUGAACCAGCCAAGUCGCGUGAGGGAAGACUGCCCUAUGGGUUGUAAACCUCUUUUGUCAGGGAGCAACGCCGGCUACGUGUAGCCGGACUGAGAGUACCUGAAGAAAAAGCAUCGGCUAACUCCGUGCCAGCAGCCGCGGUAAUACGGAGGAUGCGAGCGUUAUCCGGAUUUAUUGGGUUUAAAGGGUGCGUAGGCGGAUUUGUAAGUCAGCGGUAAAAAUGCGGUGCUCAACGCCGUAUCGCCGUUGAAACUGCAGGUCUUGAGUGAGCGAGAAGUAUGCGGAAUGCGUGGUGUAGCGGCGAAAUGCAUAGAUAUCACGCAGAACUCCGAUUGCGAAGGCAGCAUACCGGCGCUCAACUGACGCUGAGGCACGAAAGCGUGGGGAUCGAACAGGAUUAGAUACCCCCGUAG
rnacentral:rRNA from 1 species